UACGGAGGAUCCAAGCGUUAUCCCGAAUCAUUGGGUUUAAAGGGUCCGUAGGCGGGAUAAUAAGUCAGUGGUGAAAGUCUGCAGCUCAACUGUAGAAUUGCCAUUGAUACUGAUUGUCUUGAGUUAUUAUGAAGUGGUUAGAAUGAGUAGUGUAGCGGUGAAAUGCAUAGAUAUUACUCAGAAUACCGAUUGCGAAGGCAGAUCACUAAUAAAAUACUGACGCAGAUGGACGAAAGCGUAGGUAGCGAACAGG
rnacentral:misc_RNA from 1 species